rnacentral:rRNA from 1 species
GAGUGGGUUGUACCAGAAGUAGAUAGCUUAACCUUUUGGAGGGCGUUUACCACGGUAUGAUUCAUGACUGGGGUGAAGUCGUAACAAGGUAACCGUAGGGGAACCUGCGGUUGGAUCACCUCCUUACCAAAGA